GAAUCCAACAUGGAACUGGGAUUUAAAAGUCAGAGUUGAUCUGCAGAUGGUUAGACUGGUGGUGUUAAAGGUGACCCAUUAAGCUUCCUUGAACAUGUUAGGAUAUAUCUACGAACAAUACAAAAAAAAUGUUCAUUACAUUUUUGCACAUAAUUAUUCAGCUUUAGGGGCUCCUGUCACUUUAAAUCCAAACAAGCUGCUGCUGGCCACGCCCCCAACUCAACGUUUAGACUCGCACUUGAAAAUGGCUGCCAACAGACGUUAUACAAACAUCUUUCCUGGUAAGUCAGUAGCCAUGUGCUGAACCUUUGACUGGGUUGCUAGGUAACGGGCUGGAGUUGCUAAGCAAUGGCAGGUUUUUGAAACGGUUUUCUAAACUCUAAAAGUGUUAAUUUCGGCUGCAUUCACACUGCAGCCUGGAGUGACCCAAUUUCGAUUUUUAUUUUUAUUUUUUUGAUGUAAUGCUACCUGUAUCUAAUAUUUUCAUGGCAGCCUGAACAGAUUUUUUUUUUAUGUCACCUUAACCUCCAGGUCUCAUCCAACCGAUUUGAACGUCAUUGAUAACCGACCAACGUCACUAUUCUGUGUCCUGAUAUGCUCAAGCGGGAAGAAAAACAACAACCAUGGUGGACGAUAAUGAGGAUUAAGUUGUUAAUAUGCUGAUUCCGGUGGGACAACAACUUCAAAAUCGUUAAAUGAAUCACACCUGGGAUGGAGCUGCAGGUGACACUCGACACGCUGAACAAGACGUGAAACCGAACAGGUGGGAAUGUAAAGAACCAGCAGCUGAAAUAAGUUGCAACAUACAAAGAACGAUAAAUAAUAAAUAUGUUCUCUCACAGAAACAGGCCAACAUGAGUUUCAUACAGCUGAAAUGAGCUCGUUGUGAUCAAACCGCAUCUGCUCCAAACACCCAGAACCGCUUCAGAACCAGCAGGGACAAGAAAGUGGCUGCAGCCUGCGAUCGAGUGUUUCCUCUGCAGAGCGACUUCAGGCUGAAGGCGGAGUCUCCGG